rnacentral:lncRNA from 1 species
CGCCGCAAAGUCUGGGGCCAUUCCGAGUCCGGCGGAAGAACUUCGCCCACGCCCCCCACCAAGGCUAUAGCCCACCCGAUUUUUGGCCAUAUAGCCUUGCUGGGGGGUCUUGGCACCCCGACCUUCGGGGGCUGCUUUUUGGGCGCGGCUGUGCCCGUGGCCUAUUUUUGGCGCACGGAGGCCGCCUGCAAAGUCUGGGGCCUUUCCGAGUCCGGUGGACGAACUUCGCCCGCGGCCCGCCCCAAGGCAAUAGCCCACCCGUUUUUUGGCCAUUUUUCCGCUGGGGGGUCUUGGCACCCCGACCUUCGGGGGCUGAUUUUUCGACGCGGCUGUGCCCGUGGCCUAUUUUUGGCACACGGAGGCCGCCCGCAAAGUCUGGGGCCAUUCCGAGUCCGGCGGACGAACUUCGCCGACGUCCCCCAUCAUGGCUAUAGCCCACCCGUUUUUUGGCCAUUUUUCCGCUGGGGGGUCUUGGCACCCCGAUCUUCGGGGGCUGAUUUUUGGGAGCGGCUGUGCCCGUAGCCUAUUUUGGGCACACGGAGCCCACCCGCAAAGUCUGGGGCCAUUCCGAGUCCGGCGGACGAACAUCGCCCACGCCCCCCACUAAGGCUAUAGCCCAGCCGUUUUUUGGCCAUAUAGCCUUGCUGGGGGGUCUUGGCACCCCGACCUUCGGGGGCUGAUUUUUGGGCGCGGCUGUGCCCGUAGCCUAUUUUUGGCACACGGAGGCCGCCCGCAAAGGCUGGGGCCUUUCCGAGUCCGGCGGACGAACUUCGCGCACGCCCCCCACCAAGGCUAUAGCCCACCCGUUUUUUGGCCAUAUAGCUUUGCUGGGGGGUCUUGGCACCCCGACCUUCGGGGGCUGAUUUUUGGGCGCGAUUGUGCCCGUGGCCUAUUUUUGGCACACGGAAGCCGCCCGCAAAGUCUGGGGCCAUUCCGAGUCCGGCGGAAGAACUUCGCCCACGCCCCCCACCAAGGCUAUAGCCCACCCGAUUUUUGGCCAUAUAGCCUUGCUGGGGGGUCUUGGCACCCCGACCUUCGGGGGCUGAAUUUUGGGCGCGGCUGUGCCCGUGGCCUAUUUUUGGCGCACGGAGUCCGCCCGCAAAGUCUGGGGCCAUUCCGAGUCCGGCGGACGAACUUCGCCCGCGCCCCCACCAAGGCAAUAGCCCACCCGUUUUUUGGCCAUUUUUCCUUUGGGGGGUCUUGGCACCCCGAUCAUCGGGGGCUGAUUGUUGGGCGCGGCUGUGCCCGUAGCCUAUUUUGGGCACACGGAGCCCACCCGCAAUGUCUGGGGCCAUUCCGAGUCCGGCAGACGAACUUCGCCCACGCCCCCCACCAAGGCUAUAGCCCACCCGUUUUUUGGCCAUAUAGCCUUGCUGGGGGGUCUUGGCACCCCGACCUUCGGGGGCUGAUUUUUGGGCGCGGCUGUGCCCGUGGCCUAUUUCUGGCACACGGAGGCCGCCCGCAAAGUCUGGGGCCAUUCUGAGUCCGGCGGACGAACUUCGCCCACGGUCCCCACCCAGGCUAUAGCCCACCCGUUUUUUGGCCAUUUUUCCGCUGGGGGGUCUUGGCACCCCGACCUUCGGCGGCUGAUUUUUGGGCGCGGCUGUGCCCGUGGCCUAUUUUUGGCACACGGAGGCCGCCCUCAAAGUCUGGGGCCAUUCCGAGUCCGGCGGACGAACUUCGCCUGCGCCCCCCACCAAGGC